rnacentral:rRNA from 1 species
GGUCAAGCGACUAAGCGCACACGGUGGAUGCCUAGGCAGUUGGAGGCGAUGAAGGACGUAGGAGCCUGCGAAAAGGUUAGGGGAGCCGGCAAACAUGCUUUGAUCCUAACAUGUCCGAAUGGGGAAACCCACUGAGCUUGCUCAGUAUCGUGCACUGAAUACAUAGGUGUACGAGGCGAACCCGGGGAACUGAAACAUCUAAGUACCCGGAGGAAAAGAAAUCAACCGAGAUUCCCUUAGUAGCGGCGAGCGAACGGGGACCAGCCCUUAAGCAACUUGUGUUUUAGUGGAACCUUCUGGAAAGUUGGGCGAUACAGGGUGAUAGCCCCGUACACGAAAAGGCACUUGUUGUGAAAUCGAGUAGGACGGACACGUGAUAUUCUGUCUGAACAUGGGGGGACCAUCCUCCAAGGCUAAAUACUCCCAACUGACCGAUAGUGAACCAGUACCGUGAGGGAAAGGCGAAAAGAACCCCUGUGAGGGGAGUGAAAUAGAACCUGAAACCGUGUGCGUACAAGCAGUAGGAGCCUCUUCGUGGGGUGACUGCGUACCUUUUGUAUAAUGGGUCAGCGACUUAUUGUAUGUGGCAAGGUUAACCGUUUAGGGGAGCCGUAGCGAAAGCGAGUCUUAAUAGGGCGUUUUAGUCGCAUGCAAUAGACCCGAAACCGAGCGAUCUAUCCAUGGGCAGGUUGAAGGUUGAGUAACAUCAACUGGAGGACCGAACCCACUAAUGUUGAAAAAUUAGGGGAUGACCUGUGGAUCGGAGUGAAAGGCUAAUCAAGCUCGGAGAUAUCUGGUUCUCCCCGAAAUCUAUUUAGGUAGAGCCUCGGACGAACACCACUGGGGGUAGAGCACUGUUUGGGCUAGGGGGUCAUCCCGACUUACCAACCCCAUGCAAACUCCGAAUACCAGUGAGUGCUAUCCGGGAGACAGACGGCGGGUGCUAACGUCCGUCGUCAAGAGGGAAACAACCCAGACCACCAGCUAAGGUCCCAAAUGUUAAUUAAGUGGGAAACGAUGUGGGAAGGCUUAGACAGCUAGGAGGUUGGCUUAGAAGCAGCCAUCCUUUAAAGAAAGCGUAAUAGCUCACUAGUCGAGUCGGCCUGCGCGGAAGAUGUAACGGGGCUAAAUUAGCAACCGAAGCUGUGGCUGUGUCUUAUGACACGGGGUAGGGGAGCGUUCUGUAAGCUGUUGAAGGUGUGUUGUCAGGCAUGCUGGAGGUAUCAGAAGUGCGAAUGCUGACAUGAGUAACGACAAGGGGAGUGAAAAACUCCCCCGCCGGAAGAUCAAGGUUUCCUGUCCAACGUUAAUCGGGACAGGGUUAGUCGGCCCCUAAGGCGAGGCAGAAAUGCGUAGUCGAUGGGAAGCGCGUUAAUAUUCGUGCACUUUUUGUUAUUGCGAUGGAGGGACGGAGAAGGCUAGGCCAUCACGGCGUUGGUUGUCCGUGUUUAAGGUUGUAGGCUGGGGAUUUAGGCAAAUCCGGAUCCCUAAGGCUGAGAACUGAUGACGAGCUAACUUUUAGUUGGCGAAGUGGUUGAUGCCCUGCUUCCAAGAAAAGCUUCUAAGCUUCAGAUAACAAAGAACCGUACUGUAAACCGACACAGGUGAUCAGGUAGAGAAUACCAAGGCGCUUGAGAGAACUCGGGUGAAGGAACUAGGCAAAAUGGCACCGUAACUUCGGGAGAAGGUGCGCCACUGACGGUGAAGGAUUUACUCCGUAAGCUGUUGGUGGUCGAAGUAACCAGUCCGCUGCAACUGUUUAUUAAAAACACAGCACUCUGCAAACACGUAAGUGGACGUAUAGGGUGUGACGCCUGCCCGGUGCUGGAAGGUUAAUUGAUGGGGUUAGCGUAAGCGAAGCUCUUGAUCGAAGCCCCAGUAAACGGCGGCCGUAACUAUAACGGUCCUAAGGUAGCGAAAUUCCUUGUCGGGUAAGUUCCGACCUGCACGAAUGGCGUAAUGAUGGCGGAGCUGUCUCCACCCGAGACUCAGUGAAAUUGAAAUCGCUGUUAAGAUGCAGUGUACCCGCGGCUAGACGGAAAGACCCCGUGAACCUUUACUGUAGCUUUGCACUGAACUUGAACCUAUUUGUGUAGGAUAGGUGGGAGGCUUUGAAGCCAUGACGCUAGUUGUGGUGGAGCCGUCCUUGAAAUACCACCCUGGUAUGUUUGAGGUUCUAACGUCGGCCCGUUAUCCGGGUUGCGGACAGUGCAUGGUGGGCAGUUUGACUGGGGCGGUCUCCUCCCAAAGAGUAACGGAGGAGCACGAAGGUUGGCUAAUCCUGGUCGGAAAUCAGGAGUUUAGUGUAAUGGCACAAGCCAGCUUGACUGCGAGACUGACACGUCGAGCAGGUACGAAAGUAGGUCAUAGUGAUCCGGUGGUUCUGUAUGGAAGGGCCAUCGCUCAACGGAUAAAAGGUACUCCGGGGAUAACAGGCUGAUACCGCCCAAGAGUUCACAUCGACGGCGGUGUUUGGCACCUCGAUGUCGGCUCAUCACAUCCUGGGGCUGAAGCCGGUCCCAAGGGUAUGGGCUGUUCGCCAUUUAAAGUGGUACGCGAGCUGGGUUUAGAACGUCGUGAGACAGUUCGGUCCCUAUCUGCCGUGGGCGUUGGAGAUUUGAGAAGAGUUGCUCCUAGUACGAGAGGACCGGAGUGAACGAACCUCUGGUGUUCGGGUUGUCAUGCCAAUGGCAUUGCCCGGUAGCUAUGUUCGGACGGGAUAACCGCUGAAAGCAUCUAAGCGGGAAGCCUCCUUCAAGAUAAGAUCUCCCUGGGGCCUUGAGCCCCCUAAAGAGCCGUUGAAGACUACGACGUUGAUAGGUUGGGUGUGGAAGCGCUGUGAGGCGUUGAGCUAACCAAUACUAAUUGCUCGUGAGGCUUGACCAU